rnacentral:lncRNA from 1 species
AUUGUCUCAAAAUUAAGUACAUAGAUUUACAUUCCUACUGUCACCAGCCAGCCACAUCUCAUAGAGGCCACUAGACUGGACAGGUGAGGUACAGACCAACUUUACUGUCACACUUAAGCGUGAUCACAAUUGGAGGCCAAGGUUCGAAUGUGAGGUAGCUGCACCCAUGGAAACCUUCCCUAGGAGAGAAGACUCAGUGCAGAAGAGAGCACGGGAUGGCUUGAACCUCACUCUGACUGACCAGGGCUCCACUUGUUGGAGUGGCUCCAUCCUCCCCCCAACCCCGUACUUGGGAUGGAACUCAGGGUGUCAUUCAUUCUAGUUUUAGGGAAUCUGACACUUCUGAAAACAGAUGGGUCCAUCACAAUCAGGCAUGACUGGAGCAAGGUCCCUACCAUUCGCUCCUGAACUAUUUGCUACUGACAGAUUCAGGAACAGAGGGAACACAGUGCCUCCGGCUCACACAGAUGCUCCUGCUUAAACUAAAUGAAUCACAAAAUACCCGUAAGUUGUGGAUCUGAGGAGACUGUUACAGGGAGGUUCGAUGCCCUCUUCUGGCCUUUGAGGUCACCAGGCACAAAAAUAGUGCACAGACAGGUAAGUAAACCCUCAUACAUAUAGAGUGAAAUUGUUUUAAAUAGAAUUAAAAAGAACCCCAAAAAUAGUUUAUAAAAACCCCUGUUCUACCAGAAAGCAUAGGCAGCUUGGGCUGGUCCUUUGGGGACUAAGGAGCCUCAUUACCUUCAUGGAGGGACCACCGACAUCCAGACUAGAGACUCGAGAGCAGGUGGUGGCAUAUGUGAUUUUUUGCAUAUUACUUAGGACGUUAUGAAUAUCUUGAAGGGCAUGCAUGUUUUUUUAAAAAAAACCUUUGCAUUACAAUGCUUAAAAAAGAGAGCUGAGUUACUUCCCUGGGUUUGAUGCCCAACAUUGCACACAAGAGGAGGAGUGUACAGAGGGUGAUGUCCUUGCCCAUGCGGGACGUGUUUUAUAUUAAUUAUUUAACACAGCUCUAGGUUUGGGAGCGCAACGAGAUUCUUUCGUGAGACAAUAAUACAACCUACUGUUUCUGCAGUUGCGUGGCCACCCAUAGAUCCCACCUACCCUGCCUACACUGAUCUGGUGGAGGACCUAUGGCCCGCGAGCUAGAGAAGUGGUUCUCAACCUUCCUAGUGCUGAGACCCUUUAACACAGUUCCUCGUGUUGUGGGGAAACCCCCUCCUGCAACCAU